GGUUCACAGAGACAAGGGCACAUAGAUAGACACACCUUUGUAAAUGUUUGCUGUCCUGAGUAUCACUAAAGCAUUUGAGUCUAAUCUGGAAAGAAUAGUCAAGUCACACACACUUUGAACAUGGGGAUGUUGUCUUUUUCUUGGCUGGCUUUGCUAAUCUUCACCAGGCCUGUGGCAGUUUUGAGGCUGGGUAGGUAGACUAGUGUCUAGUCCCUAUAAGUAGUCUGCCUAGAGUCAGUGUUCCUGAGGCCCCGGUAAUUCACAGAGACAGUCGUCAUACUGGAGGCCACAUGCCAGCAGAAUCAUGGUCAUUUUCUCGCACAAAGAGGCAGGUGUUGCCCUUUGAGGAACACCCCCCGCCCCAGCCCGUACCCCCUUAAUACAGCAUGGUAAAGUCAGUCAGCGAAACCGUCCACAGCUUGGGUUGCCACCCCUCAUGGCUAGUGGUCCAGGUUUCCAGUAGUCAGAUUGAAACCACACUCAGCACACAGCCGCCUCAUAGACAUUUUUGGAGUCCCUCCUCUCCGAGGCAGUAAUUCCCCCACCCCUGCUACCCUGAAAAGCUGUGACUAAGGAUGAAAUCAGGGGCAUGGUGGAUGGCUGUACGAAGUUCCUUUUUCCAAGUCAUUUACCUAAGUUAAUGUGCUGUGGAGUUCAACUUUUGGUUUCUCUGCUCUCUCCAGGAUAUUUGAGAGCUCUCCUACUAGAGGCCUCUGAACUCUGUGAUUAAACAUGCAGGGUGGAAACCAAAAACUCCCAUUUGAGGGCAGGGGAUGUAGAAAGAAUGAAUACGUAUUCUUUGAAAGAAGCAUGGGAGAGCAGUGAGUGUGCACACAGUAGAGGUACCAACAGGAGGGAGAGAGGGCCAGGCAGUUCUCUGAAUGUAAAAAUGGCAGGGCAUGGGGUUAGGGGCUUCUUUAGUGCUCCCUCAGCUCCUGCCUUUCCACGUGCAAAUUCUUGAUUGGCUACAGCAGUGUGAGGCUGAAAUCCCAAGCUCUCGACAACAUUCUGCAAAAUAACUUGGAUUGAAGUCCUGGCAAUAACCCAGCUUACAGAGGCGGUUAGGAGCCUUUCCAUUCAGUUUCCCCUUGCCUUGUGUGCUCCCACCAUUUUAUAUAUACUGCUGACGGUCUCUUCAAAAGUCCAGGUCUCCAGAGUUUAAAGCAGGUAUAUACAUAUAUAUAUAUAUAUAUAAAAUGUAUGUGUACGUACAUAUACAUAAACACACAUAUAUACACACAAGUGUUUGGGGAUGCCCUGCAAAGUUUGGAGUCUAGGACUCCUCUGUGUUCCCUGUCAGUUCCUCUAAGACUUUGUGUCUCUCAGUGGUAAAGUUGCAUCAUGGGGUUCCUUCAAAGCACAUCAGUAUUCCUGUGUCAGGUUGUGUCAGCAAGGUGUCACGUCACCCAGCUCACCCACCAAAUGAAGAGUAUGGUAGACCCAUCUUAUGAUCUAUAAAAAUAGCAUUGGGAACUGUCUCCUUUCCUCUAUGGAUAUGUGAGCAUAACGUGUCCAAAGCCACACCGUGAGUAUGCAAACCACUUUGUACUUGGUAAGGCCAGGAAAAGCAUUCCUCACGGAGCCCUCUAGGGGGCGUGCUCCCACUGUAAGGGGAGUGGCCUGAGAUCCUCCACAGCCUCCAGUUGAGCAGUUGACAGUUACAGCUGCAGAAAGGAGUAGCUAGUGUUUCCUCCCCUGCCCGAAUGAAAAUGUCACUUGGCUGCUUUUAAGAUGACUUUCCCAUGUCGAUGUUACUGUAAGUGACUCAGCAGCCCUCUGCCCUGGGGACUUUCUAAGCAUCGUUGGCUAUCAUGGGUGGCCUUGGACUUGGUUGUGGGGGCUAAGCUUAGCAUAGGAAGCUUUUCCCAGGAAGGGCUGCAGACUCUGGGGUGUAGCUGUGCACUGUACCAUCAGGCCCUUUCUCACUUCGCCUAGCUCACUUCUGCAGCUACAGAACGUGACCUGUGGGUUAUGAAUCAGGUUUCUGAUCCGUCCUACUUUUCCAGUGGGCGCUGGAGGAAAUCAGCUCCAUUGCUGGAGGAGAAAGUCAAUCCAAUGGCACAUGAAAGGACUUCAGGGUGUCAUCUGUCAAACACCCCAGGGAGGAACGCAAUGGCCACAGCCACUCACUUCUUUAGUGAUAGAUCUAGGGUUGGGGAGCCCAUUUUUCCUGAUUUGCAAUUUGUAACUGAUGUACCUUCAGGGCUACCACACAGGGAGGGGAGUCUCAUCCAGGUAAUUAAGUUGCCCAGUUGAUAAGCUCAGACCUACACCACACCGCACCGGACAGUAUUCACUGAACUGUGACAGGAAAACCCAUAUAUUUACAAGUGUGUUGUGUGUUAGGAAUAGAAGGCCGGGCUUUGUGCAUGUUAGGUAAGCUCUCUACCACUCAGCCACACCUCCAGCCUCAAUUAGGUCUUGAAAGUAUUCAGAAAACCCUGCGACUAUGACAAAGGGUUAUCUCUAAUUAUGCAUCUCUAUGGAGGCUAGGGGACAUGGAGUAAGGUGUUCACCCUGAGGAGGACCUGGGGCCCACUCUACUGUUGGCUGUUGUCCAACUGCUGGAUGGAAAUCGUCACUCUGACUAGCCUGUGACUCUUGCUUUGCCCACCAAACCCCAGGAGCUUGCAGGACAGGGUGGUGAUACUGGGGCACCUGUCAGACAAUCCUAUUGGUUUCUUUUGGGCAAGAGAGGAUGAAAGGAGGUUGUCUGGAGUCUGCAGUAUGGCUCCAGCACUCGUGGUGUUCUGCUGGCGCACUCUGGUCAGCAUCCAGCAGUAAUGCUUUGAGUUUAACUGGGGCUUCUAGAACUUCUCUGCGGUGAUGUUAAGCCUUCCUGGGCUUCUCUAAGAGAGUUCGGUGGUCUCCUCGGAGUUUGUCAGUCUGAUGCUAGCAGACCCAACUGGCCUUUUCUCCCCUGCAUCAGGGUCCUAUCUGCUGAAGCCUCGGGCUCACUCCCAGGCCACUGACAUGUCGCACUACUGAGUACUCUCAAGUCCGCUGCAGCCCCUCGUUUACACCAGCAGAGAACAGAGUGACAAGACGAACAUUCUAGCUAGCUGAGAUGCUUGAUGCUUAGUGCAGCAACCAAACCUUGCCUGAGCCAGUAGAGCCAGAAAUCAUCAUGGCCAUGGAGUCACCAUGUAUGUCACUGUUGUCUCCUGCGCCCUGUCCAGCUCUCUGCUGUCCCCCGCAGCCACCACAAGGGCUAGGCUGUUUAAUGAGCCCCACAGCUUCUAAGAAAUUCAGUGGCUUAUUUGUAGUGUGCUUGAUGUCCCAGGUGAAGAAGCAAAUGCCUACGACCUGAUCUGUUCCUUUACCCUGUGCCCUGUCUCUGGUUUAGGGGAGGGGGAACUUUCUAGCAAUUAUGGCUUUGUUUGCUGCCUGGUGCUUUUAUAGUCUGUCAUUUGUUCUCAUUUCCUUUUUUAAAGCCAAAAUUGCAUUGGUUUGGUUGUCCUUGUCUAGUGUAUAUUUAUUGUUUUACAAACAUGGGUAUAUAUGUAUGUAUAUGUAUAAAACCAAACUUAUAUAUAAAAAAAAGUCAAGGCAUGUAUACUAGAUAUUUUAAAGUUAUUUAUCAAAGGGAAAAGAUGUGUGUUAUAAAGUAAAAGAGUCUAUAUUUUAUAUAUAAUGUAGAUAGCAGAAAAUAGCUUAUAAAUUAUAGAAGGUUUUACUUUUUGUUUU
ensembl:lncRNA